UGUGAGGCAUGCUGGAGGUAUCAGAAGUGCGAAUGCUGACAUAAGUAACGAUAAAGCGGGUGAAAAGCCCGCUCGCCGGAAGACCAAGGGUUCCUGUCCAACGUUAAUCGGGGCAGGGUGAGUCGACCCCUAAGGCGAGGCCGAAAGGCGUAGUCGAUGGGAAACAGGUUAAUAUUCCUGUACUUGGUGUUACUGCGAAGGGGGGACGGAGAAGGCUAUGUUGGCCGGGCGACGGUUGUCCCGGUUUAAGCGUGUAGGCUGGUUUUCCAGGCAAAUCCGGAAAAUCAAGGCUGAGGCGUGAUGACGAGGCACUACGGUGCUGAAGCAACAAAUGCCCUGCUUCCAGGAAAAGCCUCUAAGCAUCAGGUAACAUCAAAUCGUACCCCAAACCGACACAGGUGGUCAGGUAGAGAAUACCAAGGCGCUUGAGAGAACUCGGGUGAAGGAACUAGGCAAAAUGGUGCCGUAACUUCGGGAGAAGGCACGCUGAUAUGUAGGUGAAGUCCCUCGCGGAUGGAGCUGAAAUCAGUCGAAGAUACCAGCUGGCUGCAACUGUUUAUUAAAAACACAGCACUGUGCAAACACGAAAGUGGACGUAUACGGUGUGACGCCUGCCCGGUGCCGGAAGGUUAAUUGAUGGGGUCAGCGCAAGCGAAGCUCUUGAUCGAAGCCCCGGUAAACGGCGGCCGUAACUAUAACGGUCCUAAGGUAGCGAAAUUCCUUGUCGGGUAAGUUCCGACCUGCACGAAUGGCGUAAUGAUGGCCAGGCUGUCUCCACCCGAGACUCAGUGAAAUUGAACUCGCUGUGAAGAUGCAGUGUACCCGCGGCAAGACGGAAAGACCCCGUGAACCUUUACUAUAGCUUGACACUGAACAUUGAGCCUUGAUGUGUAGGAUAGGUGGGAGGCUUUGAAGUGUGGACGCCAGUCUGCAUGGAGCCGACCUUGAAAUACCACCCUUUAAUGUUUGAUGUUCUAACGUGGACCCGUAAUCCGGGUUGCGGACAGUGUCUGGUGGGUAGUUUGACUGGGGCGGUCUCCUCCUAAAGAGUAACGGAGGAGCACGAAGGUUGGCUAAUCCUGGUCGGACAUCAGGAGGUUAGUGCAAUGGCAUAAGCCAGCUUGACUGCGAGCGUGACGGCGCGAGCAGGUGCGAAAGCAGGUCAUAGUGAUCCGGUGGUUCUGAAUGGAAGGGCCAUCGCUCAACGGAUAAAAGGUACUCCGGGGAUAACAGGCUGAUACCGCCCAAGAGUUCAUAUCGACGGCGGUGUUUGGCACCUCGAUGUCGGCUCAUCACAUCCUGGGGCUGAAGUAGGUCCCAAGGGUAUGGCUGUUCGCCAUUUAAAGUGGUACGCGAGCUGGGUUUAGAACGUCGUGAGACAGUUCGGUCCCUAUCUGCCGUGGGCGCUGGAGAAUUGAGGGGGGCUGCUCCUAGUACGAGAGGACCGGAGUGGACGCAUCACUGGUGUUCGGGUUGUCAUGCCAAUGGCAC
rnacentral:rRNA from 1 species